GACGAACGCUGGCGGCGUGCUUAACACAUGCAAGUCAUGGGGGCCUGUGCAAACAGGCAACCGGCGAACGGGUGCGUAACACGUGAGCAACCUGCCUAGAUGUGGGGGAUAGCCGGCCCAACGGCCGGGUAAUACCGCAUACGUUCUUUGGGGGGAGGUCCCCUCGGAGAGCAAACCUUUCGGGGGCGAUGUAGAGGGGCGUCGCGGCCAUCAGCUAGUUGGCGAGGUAACGGCUCACCAAGGCGACGACGGGUAGCUGGUCUGAGAGGAUGGCCAGCCACAUUGGGGACGUGAGAGGCGGCCCAGACUCCUACGGGAGGCAGCAGUGGGGAAUCUUGCGCAAUGGCCGGAAAGGCUGACGCAGCGACGCCGCGUGUGGG
rnacentral:rRNA from 1 species